UACGGAGGGUGCAAGCGUUAUCCGGAUUCACUGGGUUUAAAGGGUGCGUAGGCGGGCAGGUAAGUCAGUGGUGAAAUCCUAGAGCUUAACUCUAGAACUGCCGUUGAUACUAUCUGUCUUGAAUAUUGUGGAGGUGAGCGGAAUAUGUCAUGUAGCGGUGAAAUGCUUAGAUAUGACAUAGAACACCAAUUGCGAAGGCAGCUCGCUACACAUAUAUUGACUCUGAGGCACGAAAGCGUGGGGAUCAAACAGG
rnacentral:rRNA from 1 species